GAUGAACGCUAGCUACAGGCUUAACACAUGCAAGUCGAGGGGUAACGAGAGGAAAGCUUGCUUUCCUUGUCGACGACCGGCGCACGGGUGAGUAACGCGUAUCCAACCUGCCCCCAACUAAGGAAUAACCUUGCGAAAGUAAGACUAAUACCUUAUAAUUUCCUCAGAUGUCAUCUGACGAGGAAUAAAGAUUUAUCGGUAGUGGAUGGGGAUGCGUCUGAUUAGCUUGUUGGCGGGGUAACGGCCCACCAAGGCAACGAUCAGUAGGGGUUCUGAGAGGAAGGUCCCCCACAUUGGAACUGAGACACGGUCCAAACUCCUACGGGAGGCAGCAGUGAGGAACAUUGGUCAAUGGGCGAAAGCCUGAACCAGCCAAGUAGCGUGCAGGAUGACGGCCCUAUGGGUUGUAAACUGCUUUUAUACAGGAAUAAAGUUAGCCACGUGUGGUUAUUUGUAGGUACUGUAUGAAUAAGGACCGGCUAAUUCCGUGCCAGCCGCCGCAGUAA
rnacentral:rRNA from 1 species